rnacentral:rRNA from 1 species
AUACGGAGGAUCCGAGCGUUAUCCGGAUUUAUUGGGUUUAAAGGGAGCGUAGAUGGAUGUUUAAGUCAGUUGUGAAAGUUUGCGGCUCAACCGUAAAAUUGCAGUUGAUACUGGAUAUCUUGAGUGCAGUUGAGGCAGGCGGAAUUCGUGGUGUAGCGGUGAAAUGCUUAGAUAUCACGAAGAACUCCGAUUGCGAAGGCAGCCUGCUAAGCUGCAACUGACAUUGAGGCUCGAAAGUGUGGGUAUCAAACAGGAUUAGAUACCCUGGUAGUCCACACGGUAAACGAUGAAUACUCGCUGUUUGCGAUAUACGGCAAGCGGCCAAGCGAAAGCGUUAAGUAUUCCACCUGGGGAGUACGCCGGCAACGGUGAAACUCAAAGGAAUUGACGGGGGCCCGCACAAGCGGAGGAACAUGUGGUUUAAUUCGAUGAUACGCGAGGAACCUUACCCGGGCUUAAAUUGCAGAUGAAUUACGGUGAAAGCCGUAAGCCGCAAGGCAUCUGUGAAGGUGCUGCAUGGUUGUCGUCAGCUCGUGCCGUGAGGUGUCGGCUUAAGUGCCAUAACGAGCGCAACCCUUGUUGUCAGUUACUAACAGGUUCCGCUGAGGACUCUGACAAGACUGCCAUCGUAAGAUGUGAGGAAGGUGGGGAUGACGUCAAAUCAGCACGGCCCUUACGUCCGGGGCUACACACGUGUUACAAUGGGGGGUACAGAGGGCCGCUACCACGCGAGUGGAUGCCAAUCCCAAAAACCUCUCUCAGUUCGGACUGGAGUCUSCAACCCGAUUCCACGAAGCUGGAUUCGCUAGUAAUCGCGCAUCAGCCACGGCGCGGUGAAUACGUUCCCGGGCCUUGUACACACCGCCCGUCAAGCCAUGGGAGCCGGGGGUACCUGAAGUGCGUAACCGCGAGGAGCGCCCUAGGGUAAAACUGGUGACUGGGGCUAAGUCGU